CCUUUGACGUUAGCGGCGGACGGGUGAGUAACACGUGGGUAACCUACCUAUAAGACUGGGAUAACUUCGGGAAACCGGAGCUAAUACCGGAUAAUAUUUCGAACCGCAUGGUUCGAUGUUAAAGAUGGUUUUGCUAUCACUUAUAGAUGGACCUGCGCCGUAUUAGCUAGUUGGUAAGGUAACGGCUUACCAAGGCGACGAUACGUAGCCGACCUGAGAGGGUGAUCGGCCACACUGGAACUGAGACACGGUCCAGACUCCUACGGGAGGCAGCAGCC
rnacentral:rRNA from 1 species